rnacentral:rRNA from 1 species
AUUGAACGCUGGCGGCAGGCCUAACACAUGCAAGUCGAACGAGUGGCGGACGGGUGAGUAAUGUCUGGGAAACUGCCUGAUGGAGGGGGAUAACUACUGGAAACGGUAGCUAAUACCGCAUACCAUCGGAUGUGCCCAGAUGGGAUUAGCUAGUAGGUGGGGUAAAGGCGCACCUAGGCGACGAUCCCUAGAUGGUCGGAGAGGAGGACCAGCCACACUGGACCUGAGAAACGGUCCAGACGCCUACGGGAGGCAGCAGUGGGGAAGAUUGCACAAUGGGCGCAAGCCUGAUGCAGCCAUGCCGCGUGUAUGAAUAAGGCCUUCGGGUUUUAAAGUACUUUCAGCUGGGAGGCGUUACCCGCAGAAGAAGCACCGGCUAACUCCGUGCCAGCAGCCGCGGUAAUUC